GUCCACGCCGUAAACGAUGUCGAUUUGGAGGCUGUGUCCUUGAGACGUGGCUUCCGGAGCUAACGCGUUAAAUCGACCGCCUGGGGAGUACGGCCGCAAGGUUAAAAACUCAAAAUGAAAUUGACGGGGGCCCGCACAAGCGGUGGAGCAUGUGGUUUAAUUCGAUGCAACGCGAAAGAACCUUACCUAACUCUUGACAUCCAGAGAACUUAGCAGAGAUGCUUUGGUGCCUUGGGAACUCUGAGACAGGUGCUGCAUGGCUGUCGU
rnacentral:rRNA from 1 species